CUACGGGGGGCAGCAGUGGGGAAUAUUGCACAAUGGAGGAAACUCUGAUGCAGCAACGCCGCGUGGAGGAUGACACUUUUCGGAGCGUAAACUCCUUUUAUAUAGGAAGAAGAUGACGGUACGAUAUGAAUAAGCGCCGGCUAACUCCGUGCCAGCAGCCGCGGUAAUACGGAGGGCGCAAGCGUUACUCGGAAUCACUGGGCGUAAAGAGCGUGUAGGCGGAUUAAAAAGUCAGAAGUGAAAUCCUAUAGCUUAACUAUAGAACUGCUUCUGAAACUCUUAAUCUAGAAUAUGGGAGAGGUAGAUGGGAUUUCUGGUGUAGGGGUAAAAUCCGUAGAGAUCAGAAGGAAUACCGAUUGCGAAGGCGAUCUACUAGAACAUUAUUGACGCUGAGACGCGAAAGCGUGGGGAGCAAACAGGAUUAGAUACCCUAGUAGUC
rnacentral:rRNA from 1 species